UUUCCUCCUUCGUAGAAGCCCUGCAGGAAACCGAAGGGUCCUGAGGGCUGACUGCUCUGAGCUUGGGUCUGGGUGCUGAGGGAACUCGCUCUCUCCAGCUGGGCGCGCACCAAUUUGGGAUUACAACAGAAGUCGCAGGCACCGGCACAAUUUGGCGUCUUGUCCCCAAAGAACUUGGAGAUGGUGGCAUGGCGACAACUGUGCCUGUGCUGCAGCAGCUGUUUUCACCCUCUGUCUGAAACCAGAGCCCAGUCUGCUAUGAUGGCUCUGUUGUGAUUGGCCAACCGCUUACAGAUGUCCCACCCCUUAGCCUAUCAUGUACAACGUGUUUGAGCACUAGCCAAAAGAAGCAGAGUAUCAUCAGUACCUGAGGAAUUAUCCCUCCUAACCUUAAUCUCAACCUGCUUAUCUUCAGCUGCUGCUCUGGGUGACGUGCUGCAGGUUUCAACAACAAACUAACACGCUGACAAAUAUAACACUCGGCAGACAGUCAGUCUGGGCUGGGCUGAGCGUGUGAAAACAACUCUCUCGGGAUGGAUGCCAGAGAGGAGACGCUGAGCAUCCUGAACAAGAUAUGGGUGAAGCUGCAAGAUCUGCCCAAUGCCAACCCGGUAGAGCUGGGAGCUUUCUUUGUCAUCUUAAGCUUCAUCUUGGUGUUCAUUCUAAUGGCAGUGCUGACCUGUGUGACCUGCUGCUGCUGCUGCUGUCGCAAGACCAGGCGAUCUAUUAUUUGAGCACUUGUGGUCCACACAAAGAACUGAAGAUGGUGCAAAAUGGGCUCAAAACACAACAACAAGUUUUUUCUACAGCCUGAGAAAAGCUUUAAAGAAUCCCUAACAGUUAAAUAUAACUGACUGAGAGUCAUGUUCAUAUACUUAAUAGGCAUUGAAGUCAUUUCAGAGAGCAAACACAUAUACAGGGUGUGUUUAGUGGCCUUAGAGAAGCCCAACCCUACAAAACAGCUGUCAAACACAGAGGAGGACUGACUGGCUGCCAAACACAAUUGCUCAGGCUGCCAGACUUUCAGGAGAAUCUACAUUCCUUGGAGCAUCCCUGGACUUUAAAGGGGGACAACAACGCUUCUGAAGCCAAGAACACCAAAAGAUCUUGAACAAUGCAGGCAAAUAUGACAAUAAGAGCUACAGAAAUGUGUGGAACGAUUAAAAAGCACAGUAUGUU